GAUGAACGCUGGCGGCGUGCCUAAUACAUGCAAGUCGAGCGAACAGACGAGGAGCUUGCUCCUCUGACGUUAGCGGCGGACGGGUGAGUAACACGUGGAUAACCUACCUAUAAGACUGGGAUAACUUCGGGAAACCGGAGCUAAUACCGGAUAAUAUAUUGAACCGCAUGGUUCAAUAGUGAAAGACGGUUUUGCUGUCACUUAUAGAUGGAUCCGCGCCGCAUUAGCUAGUUGGUAAGGUAACGGCUUACCAAGGCAACGAUGCGUAGCCGACCUGAGAGGGUGAUCGGCCCCACUGGAACUGAGACACGGUCCAGACUCCUACGGGAGGCAGCAGUAGGGAAUCUUCCGCAAUGGGCGAAAGCAUGACGGAGCAACGCCGCGUGAGUGAUGAAGGUCUUCGGAUCGUAAAACUCUGUUAUUAGGGAAGAACAAAUGUGUAAGUAACUAUGCACGUCUUGACGGUACCUAAUCAGAAAGCCACGGCUAACUACGUG
rnacentral:rRNA from 1 species